UAUAGCAAUUUAUUGAACUGUGUAUUAUAAUUUAUAACUAUAUGGUAUUUAUAUAACAAUUAUUUAAUUAUUUAGUACUCACUCAUACAUUAAAUAUUAUGCUGUAAAUUCAUUUAUUAUCUUUAUAUUGAGACCGUUAUAUAAUUGUACAACUGAACACUUUUUAGUUUUCAGUUCGAGUAUGAUAAUGAGAUAACAAAAAACAAGUAAUAACGACCAACCAAAAUUGAGAGCCCAAAUUUAAAUGACUUUUAUAUGAAUCAUACUUAACGCUAACGUUAAGU